rnacentral:rRNA from 1 species
UACGUAGGUGGCAAGCGUUGUCCGGAUUUACUGGGCGUAAAGGGAGCGUAGGUGGUUGAUUAAGUCUGAUGUGAAAGCCCACGGCUUAACCGUGGAGGGUCAUUGGAAACUGGUCGACUUGAGUGCAGAAGAGGGAAGUGGAAUUCCAUGUGUAGCGGUGAAAUGCGUAGAGAUAUGGAGGAACACCAGUGGCGAAGGCGGCUUCCUGGUCUGUAACUGACACUGAGGCGCGAAAGCGUGGGGAGCAAGCAGGAUUAGAUACCCGUGUA